AGGUUAAAUUAAAGAAUUCGGCAAAUUAAUUUUUCGCCUGUUUAUUAAAAACAUGUCUUUUAGAAUAUAAUUUAAAGUCGGGCCUGCUCUAUGAUUUUUAAAUGGCUGCGGUAUUUUGACCGUACAAAGGUAGCAUAAUAAAUAGUUUUUUAAUUGAAAGCUGGAAUGAAAGGUUUAACGAAAAAAUAUCUGUUUUAAUUUAAUUUUAUUAGAAUUUUAUUUUUUAGUUAAAAAGCUUAAAUUUGUUUAAUAGACGAGAAGACCCUAUAGAGUUUUAUUAUUAAUUUAUAUUUAUUUAUUUAUAAAAUUAAUAAUAUAAAUUAUUAAUUUGAUUGGGGUGAUUUUUAAAUUUAAUAAACUUUAAUUUUUAAUUACAUUAAUUUAUGAAAAUUUGAUCCAUAAAAAUGAUUAAAAGAUUAAAUUACCUUAGGGAUAACAGCGUAAUUUUUUUAGAGAGUUCAUAUCGAUAAAAAAGAUUGCGACCUCGAUGUUGGAUUAAAAUUAAUAUUAAGUGAAGAAGCUUAAUUAUUAGGUCUGUUCGACCUUUAAAUUUUUACAUGAUCUGAGUUUAGACCGGUGUGAGCCAGGUUAGUUUCUAUCUUUAUAAAUAUAAAAUAUUUUAGUACGAAAGGACCAAAUAUU
rnacentral:rRNA from 1 species